rnacentral:lncRNA from 1 species
AGAAGGAAGAGAGAGCCGCGCUAUUCCUCGGGGUCCUGCAUUUAGUGGUAAGCCAAUUCCCCCAGACAUCUUCCUGCUGACAGUGAAGGUAUGUAAGUGGCUGUAGAAAGUAACACUGAAGGCUUUCUCAAAGAGACUGAGUCCAAGGGCGAUGGCCUGGGCUUAAGCCAGCUGACUAACACUUAGGCAUUCUGUUAGGCAGAACUCAGGUGCAAAUAGCAUAUCUCCCUGAAUGUAGUUUAUCCAAGCAUUUUCCUCUACUUCACCGCCUCCCAAAAAAGAAUUAUUAGGAGUAUACUAGGAUAUUGCAUAGAUAAGGAAGUGAUGGAAAAGUAAGCCUUGAGGAAAAAAGACCAAAGGAUUUAUGUUAAAAGACUUUUGUUUUUGUUUUUGUCCAUUUCCCUCAUCCAUGCUCUGCCAGUCUUAUUCUCCUAGCCCUCUCUAUGCAGCAAUCAUUUCAUUUGGUGUCACUUCCUCAAUCAUUUACCAGAGAUCAAGAACUCACUUUCAAUUUCAGUUUAAAACCAAAAUCCAGAUGAGGUUUCUGAUUGGCUCAGCUUGGACCAUGUGCUCACACCUUGGGUCAAAGUCACCGGAAGAGUGACAUAGUCUGAUUGGCCCAGUACUCUGAAGCCACACCCACACUUGUGCAGGCUUGGAGAUUGGGGAGCAGCACACCUGAGGGUGUAAGGAUCUGUUGUUGACUGAAGGAGAUAUUAGAAUCAUGAUCCCUGAAGCCACACCAAUUUAGGGCUACUAAGUUCAUCUUGAAUAAAUGAGUUGCCUGAGUUGCUCUGAGCUUGUUUUUCUCUUCUAUCGAAAGGCAUUACUUACACCUGCUUUGUCCACCUCCAGGAGUUGUUAUGGGGCUCUGAUUAGAAUAUAGAGCAAAUCACAGAGCCUCCUGCUAACAGGUGUGCAGACAAGCGCUAAGAUGAAAUGGGCCAAAUACGAGAGUCAGGAAACUUGUGUGCUGGUUUUACCUGUGACAUAAACCAGCAGUAUGAAUUUGGUCCAAACACGAAAGUGAAGCAGC